UACGGGGGGGGUAAGCGUUGUUCGGAAUUACUGGGCGUAAAGGGCUCGUAGGCGGCCAACUAAGUCAUACGUGAAAUCCCUCAGCUUAACUGGGGAACUGCGUGUGAUACUGGAUGGCUUGGAUUUGGGAGAGGGAUGCGGAAUUCCAGGUGUAGCGGUGAAAUGCGUAGAUAUCUGGAGGAACACCGGUGGCGAAGGCGGCAUCCUGGACCAAUAUUGACGCUGAGGAGCGAAGGCCAGGGGAGCAAACGGG
rnacentral:rRNA from 1 species